rnacentral:rRNA from 1 species
GAUGAACGCUGGCGGCGUGCCUAAUACAUGCAAGUCGAGCGAAUGGAUUAAGAGCUUGCUCUUAUGAAGUUAGCGGCGGACGGGUGAGUAACACGUGGGUAACCUGCCCAUAAGACUGGGAUAACUCCGGGAAACCGGGGCUAAUACCGGAUAACAUUUUGAACCGCAUGGUUCGAAAUUGAAAGGCGGCUUCGGCUGUCACUUAUGGAUGGACCCGCGUCGCAUUAGCUAGUUGGUGAGGUAACGGCUCACCAAGGCAACGAUGCGUAGCCGACCUGAGAGGGUGAUCGGCCACACUGGGACUGAGACACGGCCCAGACUCCUACGGGAGGCAGCAGUAGGGAAUCUUCCGCAAUGGACGAAAGUCUGAUGGAGCAACGCCGCGUGAGCGAUGAAGGCCUUCGGGUCGUAAAGCUCUGUUGUUAGGGAAGAACAAGUACCGGAGUAACUGCCGGUACCUUGACGGUACCUAACCAGAAAGCCACGGCUAACUACGUGCCAGCAGCCGCAGUAA